UAAGGAAUAUUGGUCAAUGGACGCAAGUCUGAACCAGCCAUGCCGCGUGAAGGAUGAAGGUCCUCUGGAUUGUAAACUUCUUUUAUCUGGGACGAAAACGGGAUUUUUAUCUCAAUUGACGGUACCAGAGGAAUAAGCACCGGCUAACUCCGUGCCAGCAGCCGCGGUAAUACGGAGGGUGCGAGCGUUAUCCGGAUUUACUGGGUUUAAAGGGUGCGUAGGUGGGCUUAUAAGUCAGUGGUGAAAUCUCCGAGCUUAACUUGGAAACUGCCGUUGAUACUAUAGCUCUUGAAUUAUCUGGAGGUAAGCGGAAUAUGUCAUGUAGCGGUGAAAUGCUUAGAUAUGACAUAGAACACCAAUUGCGAAGGCAGCUUACUACAUAUAAAUUGACGCUGAGGCACGAAAGCGUGGGGAUCAAACA
rnacentral:rRNA from 1 species